CAAGGAGUCAAGUCCAACCAAGAUUGGCCCUGGUGAUCAGCCUCUAAACUGCCUGGGAAACAGCUGUGGCCACCAAAGACGCUGGCCAAGGGCAGCAGGACAAGCAAGAGGACAUCGCACUGUGUCACAGAUCUGUUCCCACCAAAUGCCCAGACAACAGCUAUGGGU
rnacentral:lncRNA from 1 species